rnacentral:snRNA from 1 species
GUGCUCGCUUCAGCAGCACAUAUACUAAAAUUGAAACAAUACAGAGAAGAUUAGCGUGGCCCCUGCACAAGGAUGACAUGCAAAUUUGUGAAGCAUUCCAUUAUUAA